rnacentral:lncRNA from 1 species
GACCACAGGACCAGGGUGAUUCUACCUCAUGUGCAACCAGAAGGAGAAGUGACACUCCAUCUAUGUAGGACAUGUUCAAGUGCAGUCUACUGUCAUGUGUCACUAAGUAGGAUAAAUCAAAAAAGAACUAAGGGAGACACAUCCUUUUCUGUAAAGAUAGAAAUCCAAGUGCAAUGGUGGCUUAAUUAAUUGGUUCUUCUGUCCUCAGAGACUGUUCCAUAGAAGCUGGAUUCCGUGGAGCAGCGGGAACUCCUUGAUGUGUCCUGCGUGUCCCCAUCCCCCAGGACUCUGCUCAGGGCAGAUUAUACCUCUCCGUCCUCGGGAUGGGGCCUUUGAUUCUGCAUUUCUAACAAGCUCCCUGAUGAAGUUGAGGGACCUCCCACAGACUCGCCGGGAGCAGAAAGCAGUCGGAGCGUCAAAGUGACUGUGCGGAGAUCACACAAUGGAAUAUUACUCAGCCCUGUUUGAUGUGGGGCUUCAAUUAGUGUCGAUCGUCACCGUCCCUUGAUGAGACACGGAAUAGAUGGGAGUGUGGAAUGUCUGGCUCCACCAGGGUAUAUUUCGACAUCUGAGCUUGCAGAACUGAGUUAUUUGUGUCCCAGUGGGUGACCCUGUCAGCCCCAUGCACAUUCUGACCCUGUGUCUUUGGGGCAGGGUCUGAGAUGCUGCUUUUGCAUCAAACUCUUGGUUGCUCCUCCUCCUCCCUUCUAGAUGGUGCCUGGGAAAUUCCUUGUCUGGAGUCUUCAUUGAGCUGUUGCUUUUAAAUUUUGAUUGCAAUUGAGAAAAUUGAGAUGUUUCAAGGGGGCAGAGCUCAGGGUGGGAACUCCCCUCGUGUGCACAAAGCCAGGAGUUUGAUUCCUACCAUUGCAAAAAAAAAAAUGCAUAAAGGGUUUGUUUUCAAAGAAAAUCGACAUCUGGACGCCGUGCAUCAUGGAGAGAAAGACUCACCUUUUGCAAACAGUAGGGACAUUUUUGUUGCUGGCCCCCACCGAUGAUUCAAGGUUGGUCCCUUGUCCUCGGAUCCCAUGGAGACUUACUGGCCACAACUCUAAUGAAGACCCCUGCCACCUGCCUGCAGACCCUGUCAAUUCUCCCUUCACUUAAUUACUGAAAUUUAUUAAUCAAUCCAUCUCCCUGGCAGUGGGCUCCGUGUUGACCAGGAGACAUCCAGGGUCACAGGGCUGCUGUCUGGAUCACAUUAGCGGGUCACUGAGGGAAACCAUCCUGGAAGGUUUUCUGCAUGAUCCUAAUUAGUCUGAUUAACCCCUAAGAGUGCCCACAGAGGUCAGUGUCCAGGAAAACCCGAAAGAGGGGGACAGGAUGGCAAACUGCCCCAGCAAACUUCCAGCUGCCAGCUGAUUGGCUCCUCUGCGGUGAUGCUCAUUGGGCUGUUUCCCCGCCCUUUCAGACCACGGAGCUGCUCAUUGGGGGACUCUUUUGGCUCCGCCCACGCGACCCAGCCAAUCGGCCUCAAGGGCGGGAAGAGUGCUGGUUGAGGUGCUCGCAGGAAGGCCGGAGGUGGCAGUUGGGCUCUGAGGGAAUUCCUGGAGAGCUCGUGUGGUGCAGCGUGUGUGUUCUAAAAAUAAAGUUCGUUUCUGCUUGACAAGUGGCUCCUGAAUUGUGCCCAGCCAGACUGCAAC